UGACCCCAAAAGCCUGAGAGGGAAUAAGAGAGGCCUGGGGAGCCCAGCUGUGCUGUGGGCCCGGGAGGAAGAGCUCUGGGUGUCUCACGAUGGCCUGGACUUCCCUCCUGCUCCCUCUCCUCACUCUCUGCACAGGCUCUGACGCGUCCUAUGAGCUGACACAGCCACCCUCCGUGUCAGCGUCACCAGGACAGACGGCCAGGAUCACUUGCUCUGGAGAUGCAUUGCCAGAUAAAUAUGCUCAUUGGUACCAGCAGAAGCCAGGCCAGAUUCCUGUGCUGGUGAUAUAUAAAGACAGCGAGAGACCCUCAGGGAUCCCUGAGCGAUUCUCUGGCUCCAGCUCGGGGACAACUGCCACCUUGACCAUCAGUGGGGCCCAGGCAGAGGAUGAGGCUGACUAUUACUGCUUCUCAGCAGACAGCAGUAGUACUUAUCCCACAGUGGCACAGGCAGACGGGGAAGUGAGACAGAAACCCCUUCCCUCUCUGUGUCACCCUCUCUCUCCAGCCCCAGCAGGACUGUGAACAAAGCCAUAAGCAGGCCUGGCCCAGUUCACCUGGAUCUGCGACCUUCAGGCUGCCCUUCCCUCCAGCCCUCCAGGCAGGCUCUGCAGAAGGUGGGUCAGGAUAGGAUUGGAGGCUGGAAGGACCACGCUGUUCUGGUGUUGUUUGGACUGAGUGUGUCUUGGCUCAAGAUGCCCUGAGUGGAAGGACAGUAAGAGGGAGACAGACAGCCAUGGAGUGUCCAUGGUCUCUGGAGUUCCUCUUGUGUGGUGACUGGAUCUAACGCGAUGCCUGUACUCUGUGGCCCAAAUACCCUGGAUUAUUUCUCUGAACUGUGCAUGUUUAACUGAGACCCUCAAGCCCCAGCUCCAUGCAUCCUGAUGUUCUGAACGGGAAAGCCUUUCCUAGUGAGCACUGUGGCAUCACGUGGCAUCCCUGACUUCCUACAGCAAUUUCCCACUGAAAAAUGGCAUUGAGUACAAAUAACAGCUUCCUGCAGAAGUGUGCCUCCUUCAGAAUGUGGUUCUAGAG